AAAUUGCUGACUUGAAAUCGACACAACGUGGCAUAAAACUAUGAGCAUGCGUAGUAUUGCAAUUCAUUAGGUAAUCAUACUUUAUCAUUAAUUUAAUCGCAAACUAAUGAGGCAGCAAUUAUAAUAAUUAUAAUAAUUGCUGUCAAUAAUACUGUUGUCUAUUUUACGCAACAGACCCAUACUUAUAAAUACUUCUAUGUUUUAAUUCAAAAAAAAGCUUUGCUCUUAAAGAUUUUAUGAAAUUUUUUAACAUCAUUUAUCAUUUUAGAUUUCUUCCGUGUUAUCACAAAAUCUGGAGUAAACCAAACGAACUAUUGACUUUCAUGCAUUGGUAAAAAUUUGUAUUCAUUUCACAUGGAUGAAACUGCUUGGGCGUAAGAUCAAAGUAAUAUUUGGUAACUGAGUUAUUCAACGGAGUCACCGAAGUUUUGGGAAAGUAAUGUUGUGCCAAAAUAAAGCAAGACUUUCCGUCUGAAGAAAAUUUAAGCUCUUAUGAUUUCAUCUUGCUAAAUUUUGUCUGAUUUCUUUGAUACUAUUCUCUCGAAUGUAUAUAUGAUCAUCAAUCAUUAUUUAAUGGCGACAUGUAUUGCUAUACUGGGCAUGCAUGCAUAAACGCUACGGUGAAGGAACUUCCUUUUUCAAAAAAAAAACAUUCGUGUGCAUAGCGGUAAUGAGGUUUUUUUGACGCUCUCCGGCUCUUGGCGGUCGCCAAGCCAUGUUUUUGGCCAUCAUCAAGCUACGCACGUAUUUUAACAACCGGAAACAAACAAAGAAAUUGAGAGGUUGUUGAUGGAAAGACGAUUACAUAUAAGUGUGAUCUAGCUGGACUAUCGGUUUAAUAAGCACAUCGAAACUUCACAGAACAUCGUUUGUACUUUGGGGAAAGAGUCAUAUGAUUCAGUUUG